UACGGGGGGGGCAAGCGUUGUCCGGAUUUACUGGGCGUAAAGAGCGCGCAGGCGGUCGUUCAAGUCGAGUGUGAAAGCCCCCGGCUCAACUGGGGAGGGUCACUCGAUACUGAUCGACUCGAAGGCAGAAGAGGGAAGCGGAAUUCCCGGUGUAGUGGUGAAAUGCGUAGAUAUCGGGAGGAACACCAGUGGCGAAGGCGGCUUUCUGGUCUGCUCUUGACGCUGAGGCGCGAAAGCUAGGGUAGCAAACGGG
rnacentral:rRNA from 1 species